rfam:Oryza glumipatula chromosome 4, whole genome shotgun sequence.
UACAAGUGUAUUUGUGAUUUUCCGUCUUAAACAUUUGGUCGUCCUUCUUAUUUGAAAAUAAAUAAUUAAUAUUUUUAUUGUUAUUAGAUGAUAAAGCAUAAAUAGUACUUUAUGUAUGUCUAUUUUUUAAAAAAAAUUUUUAUAAAUUCUUCGAAUAAGGUGGACGGUCAACGUUGGAUACGGAAACUCGCAACCACACUUAUA